rnacentral:rRNA from 1 species
CACGUAGGGUGCGAGCGUUGUCCGGAAUUAUUGGGCGUAAAGAGCUCGUAGGCGGUUCGUCACGUCGGCUGUGAAAACCUGAGGCUCAACCUCAGGCCUGCAGUCGAUACGGGCGGACUCGAGUUCGGCAGGGGAGACUGGAAUUCCUGGUGUAGCGGUGAAAUGCGUAGAUAUCGUUUGGAACGCCAAUGGUGAAAACAGACAGCUGGGAGUGUGCUGACGCUGAGACACGAAAGCCAGGGGAGCGAACGGG